rnacentral:rRNA from 1 species
GAUGAACGCUGGCGGCGUGCCUAAUACAUGCAAGUCGAGCGAACAGACGAGGAGCUUGCUCCUCUGACGUUAGCGGCGGACGGGUGAGUAACACGUGGAUAACCUACCUAUAAGACUGGGAUAACUUCGGGAAACCGGAGCUAAUACCGGAUAAUAUAUUGAACCGCAUGGUUCAAUAGUGAAAGACGGUUUUGCCGUCACUUAUAGAUGGAUCCGCGCCGCAUUAGCUAGUUGGUAAGGUAACGGCUUACCAAGGCAACGAUGCGUAGCCGACCUGAGAGGGUGAUCGGCCACCCUGGAACUGGGACACGGUCCAGACUCCUACGGGAGGCAGCAGUAGGGAAUCUUCCGCAAUGGGCGAAAGCCUUACGGAGCAACGCCGCGUGAGUGAGGAAGGUCUUCGGAUCGUAAAACUCUGUUAUUAGUGAAGAACAAAUGUGUAAGUAACUAUGCACGUCUUGACGGUACCUAAUCAGAAAGCCACGGCUAACUACGUG